UCACUCCUUGGUCCGUGUUACAAGACAGGUCAGGUGGGUAACCGACAUCGCCGCCGACCCCGUGCGCUCACUCCGCCGUCCCCCUCUUCGGGGGACGCGUGAGUGGACCCGAGAAAACCGCC